GGUAUGCACUGGCUUCGCUGAUUCCUCCUUUCUGAAGAACUGUUAUGCCAUUAAUUUGGUGUUGCAGGGAAACAGGACUGUUACUUUGAAAAAAUUAGAGUGUUUAGAGCAAGCUAACGCUUGAAUACAUUAGCAUGGAAUAAUGAAAUAGGACGUUUGAUCCUAUUUUGUUGGUUUCUAGGAUUGACGUAAUGAUUAAUAGGGAUAGUUGGGGGCAUUAGUAUUCAAUUGUCAGAGGUGAAAUUCUUGGAUUUAUUGAAGACUGACUACUGCGAAAGCAUUUGCCAAGGAUGUUUUCAUUAAUCAAGAACGAAAGUUAGGGGAUCGAAGACGAUCAGAUACCGUCGUAGUCUUAACCAUAAACUAUGCCGACUAGGGAUCGGAUGAUGUUAAUUUUUUAAUGACUCAUUCGC
rnacentral:rRNA from 1 species